rnacentral:rRNA from 1 species
AGCGAACGCUGGCGGCAGGCUUAACACAUGCAAGUCGAGCGGGCGUAGCAAUACGCCAGCGGCAGACGGGUGAGUAACGCGUGGGAACGUACCUUUUGGUUCGGAACAACACAGGGAAACUUGUGCUAAUACCGGAUAAGCCCUUACGGGGAAAGAUUUAUCGCCGAAAGAUCGGCCCGCGUCUGAUUAGCUAGUUGGUAGGGUAAUGGCCUACCAAGGCGACGAUCAGUAGCUGGUCUGAGAGGAUGAUCAGCCACAUUGGGACUGAGACACGGCCCAAACUCCUACGGGAGGCAGCAGUGGGGAAUAUUGGACAAUGGGGGCAACCCUGAUCCAGCCAUGCCGCGUGAGUGAUGAAGGCCCUAGGGUUGUAAAGCUCUUUUGUGCGGGAGGAUAAUGACGGUACCGCAAGAAUAAGCCCCGGCUAACUUCGUGCCAGCCGCCGCAGUAA